rnacentral:rRNA from 1 species
GUAGUCAUAUGCUUGUCUCAAAGAUUAAGCCAUGCAUGUCUAAGUAUAAGCAAUCUAUACUGUGAAACUGCGAAUGGCUCAUUAAAUCAGUUAUCGUUUAUUUGAUAGUACCUUACUACUUGGAUAACCGUGGUAAUUCUAGAGCUAAUACAUGCUAAAAACCUCGACUUCGGAAGGGGUGUAUUUAUUAGAUAAAAAACCAAUGCCCUUCGGGGCUCCUUGGUGAUUCAUAAUAACUUAACGAAUCGCAUGGCCUUGUGCCGGCGAUGGUUCAUUCAAAUUUCUGCCCUAUCAACUUUCGAUGGUAGGAUAGUGGCCUACCAUGGUUUCAACGGGUAACGGGGAAUGA